rnacentral:rRNA from 1 species
CCUACGGGGAGCAGCAGUGGGGAAUAUUGGGCAAUGGAGGCAACUCUUACCCAGCAAUGCCGCGUGAAUGAAGAAGGUCUUCGGAUUGUAAAGUACUUUAAUUGGGGAGGAAAAAAAUGACGGUACUCAAGGAAUAAGCCCCGGCUACCUACGGGAGAGCAGCUGAGGUAAUACGUAGGGGCCAAGCGUUUUUCGGAAUGAGUGGGCGUAAAGGGUGUGUAGGCGUGGUAGCAAGGUCGAAGUGAAAUACCUAGAGGUUAAACCAGGUGUUGCUUCUAAAACGGCUAUACUUGAGUGCGGUAGAGGAGAGUAGAAUUCCUAGUGUAGCGGUGGAAUGCGUAGAGAUUAGGAGGAACAUCAGUGGCGAAGGCGACUUUCUGGACUGUAACUGACGCUGAGGCACGAAAGUGUGGGGAGCAAACAGGAUUAGAUACCCGAGUAGUC